rnacentral:rRNA from 1 species
CCUACGGGUGGCAGCAGUGAGGAAUCUUGGUCAAUGGGCGAGAGCCUGAACCAGCCAAGUCGCGUGAAGGAUGACGGCCCUACGGGUUGUAAACUUCUUUUGUCAGGGAGCAAUAGGGCCCACGCGUGGGCUUAGCGAGAGUACCUGAAGAAAAAGCAUCGGAUAACUCCGUGCCAGCAGCCGCGGUAAUACGUAUGGAGCAAGCGUUAUCCGGAUUUACUGGGCGUAAAGGGAGCGUAGGCGGCCUGUCAAGUCUGAUGUGAAAUACCGGGGCCCAACCCCGGGGCUGCAUUGGAAACUGGCAGGCUGGAGUGCAGGAGAGGCAGGCGGAAUUCCUAGUGUAGCGGUGAAAUGCGUAGAUAUUAGGAGGAACACCAGUGGCGAAGGCGGCCUGCUGGACGGUGACUGACGCUGAGGCUCGAAAGCGUGGGGAGCAAACAGGAUUAGAUACCCGAGUAGUC